AGGCUGUCACAAGGGCACCUUCUCAAUAAGUCCUUGUAUCGCUCCCAUGCAUCGUAAAGUGUUUCUAAAUCCAUCUGCACAAAAGAAAAGAUAUCAUUACGUAAUUU
rnacentral:snoRNA from 1 species